GCCCAGAUGAACAUCUGGGGAGGGAUUCGUACCAUUCCGAGCAGUAUAGUUAUUUUGUUGGGGGGUUCACCGUAUUUAUGUGUGGUAUUUAUCUUAUGUUCUUUGCACCUACAAGUCAUGCGUGUGGGUGUCCUUUCAUGGCAUCCCAUAGCGUAAACACAACUAUCAUCUGCAUAGUUUCAGGAACACUCCCUGCUUUUUAGCCGGUGCGCAUGUUCCAUUCUUUGGCUGACUUAAACUUUUACUCCGAAUAAAAGCAAUUAUAAGAACAUGUACUUCUUUUACAACAACCCCAAAACAAAGCUGCUAUAUUUAAAAAACGAUUUAUUUGGGAUCGCUCAUUGCUUGUAUUCUAAACAUAUGCAUGACACACCUUACAUUUAUACUAAAUGCAUAUUUAUUUCUCGAAUAAGGUUGAUUAAUUGCAUUUAUUCUGUUUAUCGGGCCCAGAUGAACAUCUGGGGAGAAACUCGCACCGUUCCGAGCACUACUUACUUCGUCGGGGGGCUCACACUAUAUAUUUAUGUUAGGUAUUUAUCUUAUGUUCUUUUGCGGGACUUACAACUGACCUUUCAUGGCAUCCCAUAUUGUAAACACAACUGUCAUCUGGAUGGAGUCAGGAACCCUCAUUGAGCUUUUUAACAGUGGCUCCCUGCCUGUGUUCCAAGCAUACUCAAGACACAUCUUACAUUCAGACGAAAUGCUUUCUUCACUCAAUGUCUUCUCUGAAAAGCAGUCCUUCCGAUGCUCGAAACCUGUUUUCUUUGUUACUGCAAGCCUUCACUGUCCUCGUGGUUGGUCUCUAUGAUGGGGACCAAGUGUGCUGAUCUUUGAUUUAAUGAAGUCUUCACCUCUGCAGAAGCAAUCUGCUACCAAAGGCUUUCUCUCACUUAACAGGUAAAAGUUCAUACACUGAUCGUGCACACAACGAAUGAAAAUUUCUUAGGCUCAGAAAUUCCUUCUAACAUUCAUUGUAUAGAUGUAUAUGAUGAAGGUUUUUGCAUAUUUGGCCUCCUUGAAUACUGAAUGUGAGUAGCGCACCACCAACAUUUUCAUGAAGCCCUACGCAGUCUUUGAAAUUACAGUUACGGUUUUCCGUGGAGGACAACCGCAGGCAGGGUCCUCGAUCAUAGUAAUGCAUUUUCUAUGCCACAGCUGCUGAUACUCUGUCACACACAGUAUACUUUUCUCCAUCUACUGUGCUUGUCUGUGAUUUGCAUGCCAGGCAAGGAGUGCAUGAGAGUCUAAUGUGAAUUAUUCAUACUGUGUCGCACAAAAAACUACAGACUUUUUUUUUAGCAGGCUGGCAUAUGUCACCCAUUUAGGUGUGUCAUCAUAUCCUCUCUGUGACACAGUAGGACACGUGUAGCUCAUUGCUCCGUGGUCAUAUAUUUCACUGAGCCUAAGCCGAAAACAUUCAAUCACAGUAUCAUACAACCAGACCUUACAAAACAGUUCCAAAAUUCGUUUCGGGGCUCUCCCUUUUUAUUUUUCAGAAAUUUCUGUAUUUAGGGACUUCGACUCAAAUGUUAGUGUCAUUUUUGGAAAAUGUAGAAUAGCAUAUCCUUUGGAUUUGUUGUGUAGUCCACAUGUUGAUACUAAAGGAUAUGUUGAUAUGUGUCUUGCCUUCUUUCUCCCAUUGCCAAUCCUGUAUCAGUUAAGUUCCAGCUUUCUUUUGUUUGUUCUUUGAGACCACUGCUAUACUCAGGACACUCAGCAGGAUUAUCGCUGUGUUUCACAUUCAUGGUAACAUGCUUGCUUUUCCUAAUGUUAGCAGUUAGGAGACCACCUACCGGAUGUAUCUGCAUCAGUAUAUCAAGUGUGCCUGAUCAUCGUCACUGAGGAGUCAUGCCAAGUAGGCAUAAUGCUUUUGCCUUGACCCUUUUGCAAGAGCCUGUCAUCAAUCUGCUGCAUAGCUUCCUCAGACGGUCAAUAUGAGUAUCCAGAAAUAAUUAAUUCCAAAAGCCUGAUAUGUAAAUGUGUUUCCAGGCGAUACACAAGCACCACUUCACUAGAGAGAACUGAUGUUCUGAUGCAUAAUGUAAAAAACCCCGAGACUAGGGAACACGAAGGGACAGACACAACACGAAGUCUCAAAGCUGGUGAAGAUGAUGCAUAAUGUAAAAAACCCCGAGACUAGGGAACACGAAGCCUUCGUGUUCCCUAGUCUCGGGGUUUUUUACAUUAUGCAUCAUCUUCACCAGCUCGCUUGCUUCCUAGCCAUUUUUUCAUUGAUGUUCUGAGGCUGGAACAACAUAGAAGGGACAAUCACAUACAAGGCCUCAAGUUGCCUAAGAAAUUAACCAUGAAAGAUGGAAGUCACUGAAAAGGUUAGCCAGCUGUAGGACUCGAACCCACAUCUUCUGGAUUACCGAUUACCAAUCCAGAAGAUGUGGGUUCGAGCCCUACAGCCUGCUAACGUUUUCAGUGACUUCCAUCUUUCAUGCAGCAUUUUUACCACUUUCCCUUGUUGCUUUUUUGCAUCCUCCUCCUUUUGCAGCAUCAGAUGUCCAUCUUCCCUGUUACGAAGGAGAGGUGUUUUUUGUAAAAGCUUACCACAGUGUACCGAGGUACUGAACCUUACAAGUGUUCUAGGCCCAUAAUGGCGCGUGCCAUUCUUUAUAUGUGAAAACCUCAGCCCAGCCAACAAAGUCAUCCUAAGGGAGGCCGGAAUAUAUGCAAAGCAACACAAUUUUGCAUUUGUAUGAG